GCGGUGCCGCCCGCCGGCUGCAGGCGCGGCGGGUGCCCGGCGUUUCCCCGCCUCCCUGGCUUGCGUUUCCCUAAAUAAGGCAGGCGUGCAGUGUAUAGCUCCGCCGCACCUCUUUGCACGUCCUUCCCCGAAGAGGGCCUCCCCGUCCCCCGCUGCCCGCGCCCCCGCCUGGGCUGGGCGCGCCAUCCCCACAGCGCAGCCUGUGUAGCCUCCGCAUCCCGGUCCCCGGCCCCUUCCCUGUCGCACCGCCGCCGGAGCGGUCGCCGCCCGUUCCGCCGUUCCUCCGCUGCCACCGCUGCCAGCACCAUGGGCAGUGAGCAGAGCUCCGAGGCCGAGAGCCGACCCAACGAUCUGAACUCCUCAGUGGCCCCUUCUCCAGCUAAGCAUAGAGCCAAGAUGGAUGAUAUUGUGGUUGUAGCUCAGGGCUCCCAGGCCUCACGGAAUGUCAGCAAUGAUCCCGAUGUCAUCAAGUUGCAAGAGAUUCCAACCUUCCAGCCACUUUUGAAAGGACUGUUGAGUGGCCAGACUUCUCCAACAAACACCAGACUGGAGAAGUUGGAUUCUCAGCAGGUGCUGCAGCUCUGCCUCCGUUAUCAGGAUCACCUCCGUCAGUGUGCAGAGGCUGUUGCUUUUGAUCAGAACGCUUUGGUCAAACGAAUCAAAGAGGGUUGGCCACAAGAGAAAUUUGCAGGAGACUUGUCAGUGGAAGUGAAACAACAUCCACGUGUAUUUGAGGACGUCGCUGUCAGUCAGGCCCUGGUGCACUUUUGGUGUGUGGGCAGCAGCUCCUCCGUCCGGCCCCACAGAACUCUGCCUUCAGCUUUUCCAGAUCCUGGGCCAGAAGCCUUUCACAACCAACUUAAAUGAUGUCGCCUGUGAUUCUUCUUAUCGCCACUAUCCCAGCUGCUUGCACUGAAGUCAGUCACCAAACCUGAGGUCAUCGGAGGUUUCUACACCACAGUUGCGUCUGGCGUACACAUUAAAGAAUGAAGGCGAUGGCCACAGACCGUUACCGCCUGAGCGUGUUCCCUGUGAAUGAUGGAUCCCGUGACACAGCUGAUGCCUCCGGCGGGAGGACAGCAGGUCAGGUCCCACCAAGGCCUCCUUCACCACUCGGACAUGCUGUAGAGAGAGGUCCUUUCUCAUACUUAUGUAUAAACAGGAGACCUCGAUGAUUUCCAUGCUGCCUGAAAAGCUCGACUGGCUGCCCACCUUCCCCAGUUCCUCCCGCGACCGGUUUUCGGACAUGAUGCUCUCGCCAAACUCCAUCUGGCAGCUUCUGCGUUUGAACUGCUUCUCGAAGGGGCUCUCCUCGUGCCAGCUGCGCCGGGAGUCGGCCCUGUCGCUGGGCUUCUGCCGCCGGCGCACGGAGUGGCCUGGGUCGCCGCCGCAGGCGGGCAGCUGGCCGCAGCUGAAGGCGGGGGGGCCGGCGUGGCCUCCGUAGACGGCCGAGGCCGAGUAGAAGUGAGGGGGCUCGGGGGCGAAAUACCAGCUCUUGGCCAAGGAGGGGGCGGAGGUCUGGGGGGCCAGGAUGUCCGAGUGCCAGCCCUCGAGGCCCAGCCCGGCGGCGGACGGGGCCAGGUGCUGCUGGCUGGCCGAGAGGCCGAAGAGGAAGCGGGGCUGGCAGUGGUCCUCCACGCUGCCGCUGCGGGGCAGGGGCGACAGGAGCGGCCUCCCCGCGCGGGGCCGCGCGCCCUGGCCCUCGGGGGCCCUCGGAGGCUGGGGGCCCCGGGGGGGGCUGGCCGCCUCCCGCUCCGGGCUGGCCUCGGGCGUCUGCUCCGACACCUCCCGCACCGGGGAGAACUGGCACGGCUUGCCGGCGCCCUCCAGGGCGGAGGAGGGCUUGUAGGGCUCCGGGGCCGCCUCCGGGGAGGAGAGCCCGCGCAGGGGCGCGGCCGCGCCGGCUGACGGCGACACCGCCUUGAUGUCCAGGGAGAAGGAGCGCUUGAGGCGGCCGCUGUCCUCCCGCCGGUCCGCGGGCAGGUGGAGCCCGUUGAGCGCCUGGACCAGGGGGCCGUCGUCGGGAGGCGAGGGCUGGGCGCCGGGCGCACCGGCGUGGGGCACAGGCCGGGGCCCCAACGCCUCGGGGGGAGCGGCGGCGGGACGGGCGCGGGGCGGCCCGAGGGGCGGCUGGCCUCCCUGCCCGCCCUCCGCGGCGGCGACGGCGACCGGGACAGGCUCGCUUGGCUUCUCCAGGUGCAGCAGCUUCAGUUUGCUCUUGGGCCCCGCCGCUCCGGUCUGGCUCUUAAUCCUCUUCUCGUAGUCCAGGAGCUGGCCCAGAAAAUUGAAGUUCGGAGAUAUAGUAGGUCUUUUUUCUUUCACAAAUCUAUGAAAAGAGGAAAAAACCUAAAAGGCUUGAAUUUGACGACUACCUGUUAUUGUAAGAAUGUUACUAAGCUACGGCAAGUGAAGAGCUGCGACAGGGAAUCAUCAGAGAGACCCUUCCAAGACCUCUGUCAGGUGGCUGGUUUAAAACUUGGGGCAGAGGGUCAAGGAGGAGAUGAGGGCCUCUGCGUCGGGGAGCUUUAUAGCCCGAGCCCGGAGGUGCUAGAAGGCGGGAGGCCAGGCCCCUGAAGUUCUAGGUUGAGCCUCCUUAUUUUCAAGGACCCAAGGCUUCCAGUGCAACUGGUAAGAGAUGAUUCUUCCCUCCCCACCCGGGAUGACACCGCCCCUCCCCACCGGCGCUGCCAUCAGAAGUACAGCUUUAACAGCCAUGCGCCACCUUCAGCUUCCCAACAUCAAAGGCCCCACAGCCACUUCAAGACGUUGCACAUUUUUAAUUAACGAUCGAAAGAGAGAGUAUCAGAUGGCCAGGGCAUCAAAGCACACACUUCCGAGUUCCUUCCCUUUGGAUUCGGUGUGACAGAGUAACCAGCUACACAGUGGGCUCUGUCUGCUAAGCAUUAUGCGAAUGCACUAAAGGGAGUAUUCUCUCAUUCAACUCUCAAAACUACCCUCUGUCAGGUGGGUGUCAUUACCCCCAUCACAGAGGUACACACAGUCCUUAGGUGACUCGCCCUAAAUCACACAGCUACUAAAGGACGGUGCCGGGAUUCAGAACCAAGUCUAGGAACUUCCCUGGUGGCACAGUGGUUAAGACUCCGCGCUCCCAAUGCAGGGGACCCAGGUUCAGUCCCUGGUCAGGGAACUAGAUCCCGCACACAUGCCGCAACUAAGGAGCCAGCAAGCCACAACUAAGGAGGCCACCUGCGCAGGUAAGACCCAGCGCAACCAAAUAAAUAAAUUAAAAUAUUAAAAAAGAAAAAAAACAGGUCUGAUGUCUGGCUUCAUUUCUGUAACCACCUUGUUUAAAAAAGAGUCAUCAAGGGAUCAAAACUAGUUAUAAACAGCUUUUCUGUUUCAUUGUAGAAACAGAGACUCUUUAGAAAUAGUAGAUACAUUCUUUAGUGGCCCCUGACCCUUAAGGCCACUUCUCAGAAGAUGCAGGAGUGAAACUACACUGAAAAUUUAUAUUUGGAUAAGGAAGAAAAGAGAAAAAUCAAAAAUAAACUCCUUGGAAAUCAGUAACCUAAAGCAAAUUAACGAAGCCAGAAACAACUGCCUCAACUGUGACAAGUGUACAUGCAGGACCCUCGCGAUGAGACCCGGCAACAGGAUGGAAGGGCGCCUCUCCUGCUGGUUUCUACUGGGCGCAGGAGGACCUUAGGGAGCAGCCAGACUGCAGGACGCGGCGCGGUGCGGACACAGGGAGGACCCACCGCCUCAGCUCCUUCCUCAAGUGAGGAGCUGUUCAGGUAGCUCAUUUCUUUUCUCCAGAUUUUCCAAUUUGAGAAGAAAGUCCAAUUGUUACAGCAGGCCUGGCUCCACGUGCCUGUAUUUAUCGAUCCUUUAUCACACGCAAACUAACCACCUCUAUCCAACAAGAUACACAGGGGACUCCGAUUCAGGCGUCCCUGAACACAACCCCAGUCCUUGGUGCUGCUGUCACUGGCUGCCUUCUGUCUGGAGAAAGGGGGGGUGGAGGCAACCCCCUCAAAAUUAUAUACUUAAAAAUCUGGGCAACUCUAUGCACAGCCACAUGCAAAUCCGGUUAGAGCACACCCUCACACCACACACAAACAAACUCAAAAUGGCUUAGAGACUUAAGUAUAAGACAUGACACCAUAAAACUCCUAGAAGAGAACAUAGGCAAAACAUUCUCUAACAUAAAUUGUACCAAUGUUUUCUUAGGUCAGUCUCCCAAGGCAAUAGAAAUAAAAGCAAAAAUGAACAAAUGGGACCUAAUCAAACUUACAAGCUUUUGCACAGCAAAGGAAACCAUAAAUAAAAAGACAACCUAUGGACUGGGAGAAAAUAUUUGCAAAUGAUGAUGUGACUAAAAAGGGCUUAAUUUCCAAAAUAUACAAAUAGCUCGUACAAUUCAAUAACAACAACAAAAAACCCAAUCAAAAAAUGGGCAGAAGACCUAAAUAGACAUUUCACCAAAGGAGACAUACAGAUGGCCAAUAGGUACAUGAAAAAGAUGCUCACCAUCACUAAUUAUUAGAGAAAUGCAAAUCAAAACUACGAUGAGCUAUCACCUCACACAGGUCAGAAUGACCAUCAAGUCUACAGAUAAUACGUGUUGGAGAGAGUGUGGAGAAAAGGGAACCCUCCUUCACUGUUGGUGGGAAUGUAAAUUGGUGCAGCCACUACGGAGAACAGUAUGGAGGUUCCUCAAGAAAACUAAAACUAGAGUUGCCAUAUGACCCUGCAAUCCCACUCCUGGGCAUAUCCCCAGACAAAACCAUAAUUUGAAAAGACACAUGCACCCCUAUGUUCACAGCAGCACUAUUCACAAUAGCCAAGACAUGGAAACAACCUAAAUGUCCAUCAACAGAUGAAUGGAUAAAGAAGAUGUGGCGCGCGCGCGCACACACACACACACACAAUGGAAUGUUAACCAUAAAAAAAACAAUGCCAUUUGCAGCAACAUGGAUGGACCUGGAGAUUAUCAUACUAACUGAAAUAAGUCAGAAAGAGAAAGACAAAUACCAUACGAUAUCACUUAUGUGGAAUCUAAAAUACGACACAAGUGAACAUAUCUAUGAAACAGAAAUAGACUCACAGACAUACAGAACUGACUUGUGGUUGAUGAGGGGGCGGGGAGAGGGAAGGUCUGGGAGUUUGGGGUUAGCAGAUGCAAACUAGUAUAUCUAGGAUGGAUAAACAACAGGGUCCUACUUUAUAGCCCAGGGGACAAUAUUCAAUAUCCUGUGAUAAACCACAUGGAAAAGAGUAUGAAAAAGAAUAUAUGUAUGUAUAAAUGAAUCACUUUGCUGUAUAGCAAACUUAACACAACACCAUAAAUCAACUAUCUACUUCAAUAAAAUUCUUUACAAAAUCUAAGGAACUCUAGAUUGCAGGAAAUUCUACUCAACGAAUGGAGUUUGACCAUUAUUUGGUUUUAUACUUGCAUAUAUUGGGAUUUUUCCUCAGUGAAAGAGAGACAGAAUCUGAAGCACGGUAGGAAUUCUACAAUGAGUUUCUCCUGGAGCGUUUCUUUCUCGUGUGUAAAUUAGAACAAAUGAUAUUUCCCCAACCAGGCAAAGAUACAAACUCAAGUAACAGGAUGGAGAUCUCUGUAUUUGCUCUUCCUUAAACUUAAAAAGUAGCUGAGGAUGAACUUGAUAUAUGUGAGGGCAGAAUUAGUACUAAAUUAUAAAAAUGCAUUUUUCUCCAAUCUUUGAAAAACCAUUUAAAAAUCCAGUCACCUGUAAAGAGUAUAACUAAAAUAAUCAUGAUCUGCUUUAACGUGGUCACCACCACCCUCUCCCCCACCCACCAUGUCUUCUCAUGAUUCAGGUCAAAGGAGAAGCCAGUCUCACAGGGCAUGUUCCUGUCCUCACCUGUAAGCUUCAUCCAAGGACAUAUCCAUCCUCUUCAUGAUGUAGGCAAUGGCGAUGGUGGCAGAGCGAGAGAUCCCUGCCAAGCAGUGCACUAGGACACAUCCAUUGGAGGCUUUUGCUUUCUCUAUGAGUCAAAUUCAGAAAGGGUCAUUAAUGACAACUUUGUUCGGCAGUGAAAUCUUAUUUCCAUUUACUCACACAAUGGCUUUCAUCUGGCAACUCGAAGUAAAGCCCAUCUAUUUACCUAUUUUUCCUUUCAGUAUUCUUUUAAGGAGGUAGGGGAAGAUGAUUUCCCCACAAUUUACAUAUAGAACAAUGAAGGUCCACAUGUGUUAAUAAGCAGUGUGUCCCUAACUCAGGUUGCCUCUUAUUCAGUACUUUUCACCAUGUGUUUUUUACAUUAUUAUUUUAAUAACUUUCCCUGAGUAUAAAUCACACAUUGUGAUCACGUGAUUCUACUUGUUUAGUGUAGAAAACUUCAGAAAUACAGAAGAGUAUAAAGAAAACAACAUCCCAAAUCCUAAGAUGUAGCUAAUAUUUUGUUUACCUAUGUUGUCUGAUACUUAAGUUUUUUAUGAAUUAUGUAAGAGAUACUACAUUUUUUCCAGCUUUGAGAUAUAAUUGACAUAUAACAUUGUACUUUAGGUGUAUGGCAUAAUGAUUUGAUAUAUAUGAGCGAUUAAAUUAAAAAAUUUUUUUUCAUUUUAAACAUAUGUGACACAUUAACUGUAAAAAGCAGGGAGGUGGGGAUGGGGAGAGACUUAAUCACAGUGACACCACAUCAUGACGCAGGGACGCCAAGUCAAGCAAUUUGUAAAACGCCGACUCAGAAUCCACCUUCCUAUAAUUUCCCUAUUUUUCUCUGGGAGACUUUUCUGUGUGUCAUAAAGUGGCUCACUUUACUUGCUGAAUUUAAGAAGAAGCCAUGUGUGUGCCAUGAAUCAAUUUCAGUAGGUCACCUUAAUGAGGACCAGGAGAACUCUGACCUCUUCCUUGAUCUCCAGGAGAGACUGUCUGACUGCGUCAUGCUAACUCCCCAUAACAUGGUAGAAGGACUCGUGAACACUGUUAGAACCAAGAACCAAGGAAAUCUGAUCGCACGGUACUGCCACCUCUCACUGUAGAUGAGCUUUAAAAGCUUUCUCGUGGACAUGGAUGAAGUUAUCCCACGCCUGGAAGCAACUACCAUUUUAGCCAGUACAGUGACUGCCUUAUAUCUGAACAAUUACGUAUGUGCUUACCCUUUACCUACAUGCUGCUGCCAGGAGCUAAAUUCUUCCCUUUUCAUCCUUGUUUUCAUUGAUAACUACCAAAAGUUUACCAAACCUUAUGGUAAAGUUCUCGUAAUUAACAAGGUAUCCAGGGAAUCUGCUCUGGCAGCUGAGUAAUACAAUAUACAAUAAUACUUCAAUCUCACCACCUCUGUUAUACAUAUAAUAAAUUCCCAACGUAUAGGACUUAUUGUUUGUUACGUAUAAAACACCGUAGAGCUUUAAGGUACUACAUGAACAAUCAAGCAGCUUCCCUUUAGACAGGGAAAUCAAACACAAUAAAACAAUAACAAACGAACACAAAACAACAUUGAAACAAAGAAAAAAGGAUCACGCUAUACAACCUAACAGUAUAUAAACACACGUACGUCAAGUCCAAGCCUUCCUGGGCUACACAGCUCUCUUCCUCCUCUCAACUAUUCAGUAUUUAGCCUAUACUGCUCUUAGUAUUUCCUCUUUCACCUUGGCUGCUAAGAAGCUCAAAGGAAAGGUGUUCACUCAAUUUCAAGAGAUAACUAAUUCCGGUUUUACUGUGCCUUUCCUAGUCCCAUAUUACCUGGCUCUUGCCCUUCUGUCCUGCUUUAAUGGGUACGCGUGUGAAUGUGUGUUAUCUUUUGAUCCCAACCUCUUACUGUAAGCUGCUUCAAAUUCUUAUUGGAAGUAGGCUGGCUUUAAAUAUUUUUUUAAUGUU